rnacentral:rRNA from 1 species
UGUGUAGGCGGUUGUUUAAGUUUGGUGUGAAAUCUCCCGGCUUAACUGGGAGGGUGCGCCGAAUACUGAAUGACUAGAGUGCGGGAGAGGAGAGUGGAAUUCCUGGUGUAGCGGUGAAAUGCGUAGAUAUCAGGAGGAACACCGGCGGUGUAGACGGCUCUCUGGACCGUAACUGACGCUGAGACACGAAAGCGUGGGUAGCAAACAGGAUUAGAUACCCUGGUAGUCCACGCCCUAAACGAUGCAUAUUUGGUGUGGGCAGUUCAUUCUGUCCGUGCCGGAGCUAACGCGUUAAAUAUGACCGCCUGGGGAGUACAGUCGCAAGGCUGAA